GAUGAACGCUGGCGGCGUGCCUAAUACAUGCAAGUCGAGCGAACAGACGAGGAGCUUGCUCCUCUGACGUUAGCGGCGGACGGGUGAGUAACACGUGGAUAACCUACCUAUAAGACUGGGAUAACUUCGGGAAACCGGAGCUAAUACCGGAUAAUAUAUUGAACCGCAUGGUUCAAUAGUGAAAGACGGUUUUGCUGUCACUUAUAGAUGGAUCCGCGCCGCAUUAGCUAGUUGGUAAGGUAACGGCUUACCAAGGCAACGAUGCGUAGCCGCCCUCAGAGGGUGAUCGGCCACACUGGAUCUGAGACACGGUCCAGACUCCUACGGGAGGCAGCAGUAGGGAAUCUUCCGCAAUGGGCGAAAGCCUGACGGAGCAACGCCGCGUGAGUGAUGAAGGUCUUCGGAUCGUAAAACUCUGUUAUUAGGGAAGAACAAAUGUGUAAGUAACUAGGCACGUCUUGACGGUACCUAAUCAGAAAGCCACGGCUAACUACGUG
rnacentral:rRNA from 1 species